rnacentral:rRNA from 1 species
AGCGAACGUUUGCGGCGGGCCUAACACAUGCAAGUCGAACGAGAAGCUGGCUUCGGCCAGUGGAAAGUGGCGCACGGGUGCGUAACACGUGGGUAAUCAACCCUUCAGUCGGGGACAACACCGGGAAACUGGUGCUAAUACCGGAUUCGCUCUAGAUGACAUCGGUCAUUUAGGGGAAAGCCUCGCAAGGGGUGCUGAAGGACGAGCCCGCGGCCCAUCAGCUAGUUGGUAAGGUAAAAGCUUACCAAGGCGAAGACGGGUAGCUGGUCUGAGAGGAUGAUCAGCCACACUGGAACUGAGACACGGUCCAG